CCUACGGGUGGCAGCAGUCGAGAAUCUUUCACAAUGGGGGCAACCCUGAUGGAGCGACGCCGCGUGGAGGAUAAGGUCUUCGGAUUGUAAACUCCUGUCAUGUGUGAACUGGUAACACAAGAGGAAGAGACGGCUAACUCUGUGCCAGCAGCCGCGGUAAUACAGAGGUCUCAAGCGUUGUUCGGAAUCACUGGGCGUAAAGGGUGCGUAGGUGGCGUAGUAAGUCAGAUGUGAAAGCCCGGGGCUCAACCUCGGAAUUGCAUCCGAUACUGCUGUGCUAGAGUACUGAAGAGGUGACUAGAAUUCUCGGUGUAGCAGUGAAAUGCGUAGAUAUCGAGAGGAAUACCAACGGCGAAGGCAGGUCACUGGGCGUACUGACACUGAGGCACGAAGGCCAGGGGAGCAAACGGGAUUAGAUACCCUUGUAGUC
rnacentral:rRNA from 1 species